rnacentral:rRNA from 1 species
UACGUAGGGGGCUAGCGUUGUCCGGAAUCAUUGGGCGUAAAGCGCGUGUAGGCGGCCCGGUAAGUCCGCUGUGAAAGUCGGGGGCUCAACCCUCGAAUGCCGGUGGAUACUGUCGGGCUAGAGUACGGAAGAGGCGAGUGGAAUUCCCGGUGUAGCGGUGAAAUGCGCAGAUAUCGGGAGGAACACCUAUGGCGAAGGCAGCUCGCUGGGACGUUACUGACGCUGAGACGCGAAAGCGUGGGGAGCAAACAGG